rnacentral:rRNA from 1 species
GAUCCUGGCUCAGGAUGAACGCUAGCUACAGGCUUAACACAUGCAAGUCGAGGGGCAGCAUGGUCUUAGCUUGCUAAGGCUGAUGGCGACCGGCGCACGGGUGAGUAACACGUAUCCAACCUGCCGUCUACUCUUGGCCAGCCUUCUGAAAGGAAGAUUAAUCCAGGAUGGGAUCAUGAGUUCACAUGUCCGCAUGUAAUUAAGGUUAUUUCCGGUAGACGAGUGGGAU